ensembl:lncRNA
GCGACGGAUCAGAAGAUGCGAUGGCACGCCGCUGAAAGCUCAGCUGUCGCGGUGUUUGGUAACGACGCUCGUUACCAAGACGAGAGUUUUACGUUUUGGGUUCUCUGUGUCAGAUGUUCCCUGCGUUCUUAACACAAAAGGCAGAGAACGAGUGAGAGAGAGAGAGAGAGAGAGAUAAGGAGAGAGAGAAGGAGAGAGAUAGUGAAAGAGAGAGAAGAAGAGAGAGAGGAGAGCGAGAGAGAUAAGGACAGAGAGAAUGAGAGUGAGAGAGAGAGAUAGAGAAAGAGAGGAGAGCAAGAGAGAGAUAGAGAAAGAGAGAGAGGAGAGCGAGAGAGAGAUAGAGAAAGAGAGGAGAGCAAGAGAGAUAGAGAAAGAGAGGAGAGUGAGAGAGAAGGAGAGAGAGAUAGAGAAAGAGAGAGAGGAGAGCGAGAGAGAGAUAGAGAAAGAGAGGAGAGUGAGAGAGAUAGAGAAAGAGAGGAGAUGAGAAGAGAAGGAGAGAGAGAUAGAGAAAGAGAGAGAGGAGAGUGAGAGAGAUGAGAGUAGGAGAUUGAGUGAGAAGGAGAGUGAGAGGGAUAGAGAAAGAGAGAGGAGAGAGAGAUGGAGAAGGAGAGAGAAGAAGAGAGAGGAGACAGAGGAGAGUGAGAGAGCUAGAGAGAGAGAGAGAGAGAGAGAGAGAGAGAGAGGAGAGAUAAGGACAGAGAGAAUGAAAGUGAGAGAUAGAGAAUGAGAGUAGAGCGACAGAGAAAGAGAGAUAGAGAAAGAGAGAGAUAGAGUGAGAGAGAUAGAGAAAGAGAGAGAUAGAGUGAGAGAGAUAGAGAAAGAGAGAGAUAGAGAAAGAGGGAGAGAGGAGAGAGAUAGAGAAAGAGAGAAGAAGAGAGAGGAGACAGAGGAGAGUGAGAGAGUGAGAGAGAGGAGAGAGAGAUAAGGACAGAGAGAAUGAAAGUGAGAGAUAGAGAAAGAGAGAUAGAGUGAGAGAUAUAUAUAGAGAGAGAGAGGGGGGCCUUCUUAAAUCUGAAGUUUCUCUUGUCGGUUUGUAGUUUGUCUCUUGUGGGCGUGGCCUGUCCAAAGCCUACAGCUCAUGAUAGUUUUCCACACACGUAUGUAGGUUUGAUUUGCGUGCUCUCGACUUCAUACUAGCGUCAUUCUCAGAUCAGAUCAGAAUCUCCGUGCGAGCUCCAAACGCUCACCACAGACACCCGCAACUGUUCCUCCUUCCUUCCAAGCUUUUUUUUUACCUCUCUAAUGUCUGUAUACACAUUUAAUAACCGGAUCAGAUGAAACCAUGGUUAGAAUUCUUCUCUUAUUCAUGUCUCGAACAGUAAAUAAGAACUACCUGUGGGUAGGAACUAAAGUCUCUGAGCUGGAGAACCGUCAGACCGCGCGCUCCUGCGAUUGCUCAGAGGAAC